CUGGCGGCGUGCCUAACACAUGCAAGUCGAGCGAGGAGAUCCUUCGGGAUGAUCCUAGCGGCGGACGGGUGAGUAACACGUGGGCAACCUGCCUCAUAGAGAGGAAUAGCCUUCCGAAAGGGAGAUUAAUACCUCAUAACAUUGCAGUUUCGCAUGGAACAGCAAUUAAAGGAGUAAUCCGCUAUGAGAUGGGCCCGCGGCGCAUUAGCUAGUUGGUGAGGUAACGGCUCACCAAGGCGACGAUGCGUAGCCGACCUGAGAGGGUGAUCGGCCACAUUGGGACUGAGACACGGCCCAGACUCCUACGGGAGGCAGCAGUGGGGAAUAUUGCACAAUGGGGGAAACCCUGAUGCAGCCAACGCCGCGUGAGUGAUGACGGCCUUCGGGUUGUAAAGCUCUGUCUUCAGGGACGAUAAUGACGGUACCUGAGGAGGAAGCCACGGCUAACUACGUGCCAGCAGCUGC
rnacentral:rRNA from 1 species